CAAAUACUUCCUCCGUUUCAAAAUUCUUGUCUUAGGUUUAUUUAAAAAUGGAUGUAUCAACAUAUUAAAACGUGACUAGGUACAUUUAUACCUAGACAAAUCUAAGACAAGAAUUUUGAGACGGAGGAAAUAUUUU
rfam:Hordeum vulgare subsp. vulgare, WGS project CAJW01000000 data, contig: morex_contig_2555259